rnacentral:rRNA from 1 species
CAGUAGCCACGGGAAUACGGAGGGUGCAAGCGUUACUCGGAAUCACUGGGCGUAAAGGACGCGUAGGCGGAUUAUCAAGUCUCUUGUGAAAUCUAACGGCUUAACCGUUAAACUGCUUGGGAAACUGAUAAUCUAGAGUAAGGGAGAGGCAGAUGGAAUUCUUGGUGUAGGGGUAAAAUCCGUAGAUAUCAAGAAGAAUACCUAUUGCGAAGGCGAUCUGCUGGAACUUAACUGACGCUAAUGCGUGAAAGCGUGGGGAGCAAACAGGAUUAGAUACCCCAGUAGUCCCUGUCUCUUAUAA